ACAAAAUAUUAACAUUUCCACAUUCCACAAUGUGGGAGUGUGGGCUAUCUUAUAACAUUUUGCUUCUCACUCACACUCGCACUUUAUAUCAUUGUGUUCAAGGUAAAUCAAAGAGCAUGAUACAUUCAUUAGUAGUCUAAGCAUCUUUAAAGAUGACAAUGGGGUUAGGGUUAUUGCUUCUUAUCUUCUUGCUACCUUGUUACUACUGUGUGAGGGGUGUGGAGCCGGCAAACUCAGCUGCGUGUGCCUUUUCAGCUGUCUAUAAUUUUGGUGACUCAAACUCUGACACUGGUGGUAUAUCAGCUGUAUUUGUUCCAAUCCCACCGCCUUAUGGUGAGGGUUUCUUCCAUAAGCCUUCAGGAAGAGAUUGUGAUGGCCGUCUCAUCAUCGAUUUUAUUGCUGAAAAGCUAAACUUGCCAUACUUAAGUGCUUAUCUGAACUCCCUUGGAACCAAUUAUCGGCACGGUGCAAAUUUCGCCACCGGUGGAUCCACCAUUAGAAGGCAGAACGAGACCAUAUUUCAAUAUGGGAUAAGUCCAUUCUCGCUUGAUAUGCAGAUUGUGCAAUUCGAUCAGUUCAAAGAACGUACCAAACAAAUGUAUCAAGACAAUAUCAACUCAGUUGACAAGAGCAGGAUUCCGGUACCUGAGGAAUUUAGUAAGGCUUUGUACACUUUUGACAUUGGCCAAAAUGAUCUCUCUGUUGGAUUUAGGACGAUGAACUUCGACCAAAUGCGUGCAACCAUGCCAGAUAUAGUCAAUCAGUUAGCCAAUGCAGUCAAAAAUAUAUAUGAAAGAGGAGGGAGGUCGUUUUGGGUACAUAACACUGGUCCAAUUGGGUGCUUACCAGUGAACCUAUUUUAUAAGCACAAUGUGCCACCUGGCUAUUUCGACAAGUAUCAAUGCGUAAAUGAUCAAAAUCUGAUGGCUCAGGAAUUCAACAAGCAGCUUAAGGACAGAGUUAUCAAGCUCAGGAUAGAGCUCCCAGAGGCUGCAAUCACAUAUGUUGAUGUCUAUGCUGCAAAGUAUGGACUAAUCAGCAAUACCAAAAAUGAAGGGUUUGAUGAUCCAAUGAAGAUUUGUUGUGGGUAUCAUGUGAAUGACACCCACAUUUGGUGUGGAAAUUUAGGAACAGCAAAUGGGAAAGACCUGUAUGGAACUGCUUGUGAGAAGCCUUCAGCAGCUGUAAGUUGGGAUGGCGUUCAUUAUGCUGAAGCUGCCAACCAUUGGGUUGCUAAUCGCAUACUUAAUGGUUCCUUCACUGACCCACCAAUUCCAAUUACCCAAGCAUGUUACAGGCAGUAGAAGCUUUACUAUUUAUAUAUGUUGCCAUGUUUGAGUUAUUGUUCAUUUUGGCAAUAAUCCAUCUAUUUAUGUUAUGAGCAUAUUCUUAUGGGAAAAUCAUCACAUUAGAAAUUGCAAUAAUGUAUGAAAUAAUCUAUUCUUGUAAUACUAGUAACAUUGCAACUGCUCAAAUAAUAAACGGAAUGAAAAAAACUUAGUAUAGGAAGAUAGCAAAAAAUUAUUUCAAUCUCCACCAAAUGUAGAGUCAAGAUAUGGACUUUGUGAUAUGGAAAAAACAUAUAAGGCCUUAGCU